GAUGAACGCUGGCGGCGUGCCUAAUACAUGCAAGUCGAACGCUGGAAAUCUAGCUUGCUGGAUUGAAGGAGUGGCGAACGGGUGAGUAAUACAUAAGCAACCUACCCACGAAUACUGGGAUAAUCUCUGAAAACGGGGACUAAUACCGGAUAGGUAAUCGGAAGGCAUCUUCUGAUUAUUAAAGGUUAAAAACACUGGUGGAUGGGCUUAUGGCGCAUUAGGUAGGUGGUGAGGUAACGGCCCACCAAGUCGAUGAUGAGUAGCCGGCCGGGGAGGGUGAACGGCGACAGUGGGACUGGGAAACGUCCCAGUCUCCUACGGGAGGCAGCAGUAGGGGAGUUUCGGGAAUGGGGGAUACCCUGACCGACCCACGCCGCGUGAGUGAUGACGGCCUGCGGGUUGUAAAGCUCUGUUGUAAGGGAAGAACGGUAGAUAGAGAAUAUCUAAAUGACGGUACCUUACCAGAAAGCCACGGCUAACUACGUG
rnacentral:rRNA from 1 species